CGAGCUCGCUGUCGUCGCAACACUGAUUCAUACGGUAUCCACAGUUAAGGCCACCACCGGAUCAAUCGGUAUUUAAGAUCCUGUUUGGAUACUGUCACACCCGGUUUCUGAACAAAACCGAAUGCAUUGCAUAUGUGUGUCAGGAUCCGUUCUCACACAUAUGUUGACGUCAUCAGUGAAUACAUCAAAGACAGUGCUCAAAAACGUACAUAACCAGUAGGAACUUUAUUACACUCAGUGUGAUAGACACGAAGGUCUUUAAUCGUUCACCGAUAACUUAACACACACACAUAGCGCAGCUUCUCCACAGGCUUGACUGGUGAACGCCUGCCUAAAACUCCUCGAAGUCGUCGAAGAACUCCAUGUCGUCACAAGCUUCUGAACAGCGUUUGGGCAAGGGUGAGUACACUUAUGGUUGGUACUCAGCAAGUGGGGGAAACAUGCAAGGCUCAUAAGGAAUGGCUCAAGGCUUGAAGCGGUUAGCAUUUUAGUUGGUCAAAUUUUAUUAACAGCACCUAUUUACUAGAUGUAAGUUUAUACCAACCCACUUAAGCAUAAAUCAUUAACAUUAACCCAAAGAUAAAGGUAACACGGUUUAUUCUCAUCUUUAAGUUCAAUUAUCAUGUGAGGGUCCAAGCCGCUCUUAACCGUGAGCACGGUUGAUAUAUCAGUUUACACUCUGCAGAGGUUGUACACUUUACCCACAACUCGUGGUCCCCCGUGUCGCCCGGGUUUGCAAAGCCCUUAAACACUUCCUUUGGUGAGUGGCUGGGGGGUCCACUACGAAGCCUUUACAAAGACACGCAGGUAACUGGUAGCCCGCUAGAGUUUCAGUAGUGAUGCGGACCACAACUCGUUAAUGAGACAGCACCUUAGCGAAGGCUACUGCUCCGGAUCGUGCACCCAACACCUUCCCCCUCCUUGCCCUUUCGGUAAGGCCACCAGCUAACCACAUGCCUAAUUAUUCGGCUAAGAUCAGCGCCAUGUGAUGUUGUGGUUGUACUGUUUUCUUGGGUGGUUCUCCAUGUUCCGAUUAAAACAAGUGUUCUUGCAAUUAAACAGGUAUAGCAACAUAAAUAAAGCAUGAUUAACAUUCUUCUCAUUAUUAAGACAUUACCAACCCAAAUUAAGCGACUAGCAAGUCUACCCAACAUGAUUAAACAGGUUUUCAAGGAAUAAGGAUUAAAACUAGGUAAGUCCUUAAUAGGCAUUCCCAUCAAAUUUAUGCACAUACAAGAAAUAAAUAAAGUGUUUAAUCAUGAUAUUAUUGGGACAAAAAGAACAUGCUGGGGGAGAAUACCACUUGCCUUCCUCGGCAAACUGGAGGUACUCCUCUUCGAACGGUGGCUGCUCCUGAACUUGCUCCUCCGCGAACGUCACGUCGUCUACACGAUCACACAAGGCAAGCAAACAAAGAAUGAGUAAAACAGUACAGAAAACAUAUGCAAAGGCUUACAACAAACUCCUAAAACUAACGUUCAUGCAGAGACGAUCGUGUGAGCGCGAGAAUCGCUGAAAUCGGAUUUAAAAUGAUGAAGAUAUGAGAUAAACAAGUUUCAGGGGCUAAAAUAGAAUUAACUAUAUACAUCAGGGGCUAGCAAGGAAUUUUCACAAGACUUAGUGAACAAUGCUUGCGAAUACAGAAAGGUACAAGGUUAGAUAUGCAAGAUUACAUGGCUCAGGUUAAAAUGAAAGAUUCUAAGAAUUGCAGGGGGUUCUUUACAAGAUUUACCGGACACAUGAAAUUGAAAGAAAGAUUAAAGGAUAGAUCAGGGACUUGAACGCAAAGACACCUUAUCCUUUCUUCAACCUCAUGCGUGCCCGCACAGGGAAGGGCGGCGCACCACCAGCGGCUCGCCGGCGCCCUUGGCGUGACGGGGAGGGGAACCGGUGCAGGCGAGGGGAAAGAGAGAGGCGCGCAAAGAGGGAACCUCACCGUCGGCGGCGAGUUGGAGGAAACAAGCGCUCGGGCCGGCGUACAGGAACCGACGGCGCAAAGCUCUUGGGCGGCGGCGAUGCUCUGGUGCGAGAGGGUGGCAGGUGUGUGGCAAAACGGAGAAAGAAACUCCGGGCGAGGUCGAUGGCAACCUUUAUAGGCCCCGGGAAGGAGCGAAAGGGGCUCCUGGGAGAGAUCGAAGGUCGGUCGGCCAUUAAUGGCCUUCAAGCUUGUGGGCCGUUUCCAGAGAGAGGAAAGGAGGGGGUGGCAGUUUAAGGCCGGGAGUGAGGGAGAGGAGACGACACGAGGUCGUGGAGGGGCUCGAGAGGCCGAGAGAUGCCGGGAGGUGAGGGGGCCAAAGCGGCCGGCGGCACACGGGUGGACGCCGUGCGUGCGCCUGCUUCUGGUGCCUGAACGGUUGGAGGUGGCGGGUGGAGUUGACGGAUGGGC
rnacentral:lncRNA from 1 species